GGGGAGUCGCGGGUAAUAAUAAACCCAACGAAAGAGCCCCUGCUCCUAAUAGAUAUGACCUUCUCAUCAAGCAUCUCUGUUGAUUAGGGGACGUGUUUUCUGAUGCCGAACAUGUAAUAAUGUUGUGUAAGCCAUGCCUAUUCAAAUUGUUGGCUGCUGGUGAUGGAAGCCCAAGAUUCAAUGAGAGUGAAGUAGCUGCCAUUUUUGUGG
rnacentral:misc_RNA from 1 species